rnacentral:rRNA from 1 species
AGAGUUUGAUCCUGGCUCAGGAUGAACGCUAGCUACAGGCUUAACACAUGCAAGUCGAGGGGCAGCAUGGUCUUAGCUUGCUAAGGCUGAUGGCGACCGGCGCACGGGUGAGUAACACGUAUCCAACCUGCCGUCUACUCUUGGCCAGCUUUCUGAAAGGAAGAUUAAUCCAGGAUGGCAUCAUGAGUUCACAUGUCCGCAUGAUUAAAGGUAUUUUCCGGUAGACGAUGGGGAUGCGUUCCAUUAGAUAGUAGGCGGGGUAACGGCCCACCUAGUCAACGAUGGAUAGGGGUUCUGAGAGGAAGGUCCCCCACAUUGGAACUGAGACACGGUCCAAACUCCUACGGGAGGCAGCAGUGAGGAAUAUUGGUCAAUGGGCGAUGGCCUGAACCAGCCAAGUAGCGUGAAGGAUGACUGCCCUAUGGGUUGUAAACUUCUUUUAUAAAGGAAUAAAGUCGGGUAUGCAUACCCGUUUGCAUGUACUUUAUGAAUAAGGAUCGGCUAACUCCGUGCCAGCAGCCGCGGUAAUACGGAGGAUCCGAGCGUUAUCCGGAUUUAUUGGGUUUAAAGGGAGCGUAGAUGGAUGUUUAAGUCAGUUGUGAAAGUUUGCGGCUCAACCGUAAAAUUGCAGUUGAUACUGGAUGUCUUGAGUGCAGUUGAGGCAGGCGGAAUUCGUGGUGUAGCGGUGAAAUGCUUAGAUAUCACGAAGAACUCCGAUUGCGAAGGCAGCCUGCUAAGCUGCAACUGACAUUGAGGCUCGAAAGUGUGGGUAUCAAACAGGAUUAGAUACCCUGGUAGUCCACACGGUAAACGAUGAUACUCGCUGU